GCGGAUUUAGCUCAGUUGGGAGAGCGUCAGACUGAAGUAUAACUUUGGUCUCAGUCAAUCUGAAGGUCCUGUGUUCGAUCCACAGAAUUCGCA
rfam:Nadsonia fulvescens var. elongata DSM 6958 unplaced genomic scaffold NADFTscaffold_7, whole genome shotgun sequence.